GACGAACGCUGGCGGCGUGCUUAACACAUGCAAGUCGAACGGAAAGGCCAUGCUCUUGUGGGGUGGUCGAGUGGCGAGGGGGGGAGUAACACGCGAGUAACCUGCCCUUGUCAGUGGGAUAAAUUCACGGAAAAGGGGCUAAUACCGGAGAGGAGCUACUGCUCCAUGGGGGGGGAUGGAGAGUUUCGGCGGUUGGGGAUGGACUAGCGGCUUAUCAGCUUGAUGGGGGGGUAGUGGCUUACCAAGGUUACGAAGGGUAGCCCGCCUGUGAGAGUGACCGGCGACAUUGGGACUGAGAUACGCCCCAGACUCGUACGGGAGGCAGCAGUCGGAAGUAUUGCAGAAUGAGCGGAAGCCUGAUGCAACAACGCCGCGUGCGUGAUAACGGGCUUCGGGUGGUAAACCACUUUGGCCUGUGACGAAGCGUGCGUGACGGUAACGGGUAAAGAAGCACCGGCUAACUACGUG
rnacentral:rRNA from 1 species